UCCUUUUUCCGGUUGAUCCGCCGGACCCGACCGCUAUCGGGGUGGGACUUAGCCUUGCGAGUCGUGCGCCCCGGGCUACGACGGGGCGCGGCGGACGGCUCAGUAAAACGCGGCUAACCUACCCUCGAGACGGGGAUAACCCCGGGAAACUGGGGCUAAUCCCCGAUAGGUGAGGGGCUCUGGAACGCCCCCUCACCCAAAGGGACACGGGAUCAUGCCUCCCGUGUCCGCUCGAGGAUGGGGCCGCGGCCUAUCAGGUAGAUGGUGGGGUAACGGCCCACCAUGCCGAAGACGGGUACGGGCCGUGAGAGCGGGAGCCCGGAGAUGGGCACUGAGACAAGGGCCCAGGCCCUACGGGGCGCAGCAGGCGCGAAACCUCCGCAAUGCGGGAAACCGCGACGGGGUCACCCCGAGUGCCACCCGCUGAGGGUGGCUUUUCCCCGCUGUAAAAAGGCGGGGGUAAUAAGCGGGGGGCAAGCCUGGUGUCAGCCGCCGCGGUAAUACCAGCCCCGCGAGUGGUCGGGACGUUUAUUGGGCCUAAAGCGUCCGUAGCCGGCCCGGUGUGUCUCUCCUUAAAUCCCACGGCUCAACCGUGGGGCUGGGAGAGAUACUACCGGGCUAGGGGGCGGGAGAGGCCGGGGGUACUCCCGGGGUAGGGGCGAAAUCCUAUAAUCCCGGGAGGACCACCAGUGGCGGAGGCGCCCGGCCAGAACGCGCCCGACGGUGAGGGACGAAAGCCAGGGGAGCAAAGGGGAUUAGAGACCCCCGUAGUCCUGGCCGUAAACGAUGCGGGCUAAGUGUUGGCCGAGCUGCGGGCUCGGCCAGUGCUGCAGGGAAGCCGUUAAGCCCGCCGCCUGGGGAGUACGGCCGCAAGGCUGAAACUUAAAGGAAUUGGCGGGGGAGCACCACAAGGGGUGGAGGCUGCGGUUUAAUUGGAGUCAACGCCGGGAACCUCACCAGGGGCGACAGCAGGAUGACGGCCAGGCUGACGACCUUGCCUGACGCGCUGAGAGGAGGUGCAUGGCCGUCGCCAGCUCGUGCCGUGAGGUGUCCGGUUAAGUCCGGCAACGAGCGAGACCCCCGCCCCUAGUUGCUACCAGUACCCGUUGGGUACUGGGCACACUAGGGGGACUGCCGGCGCUAAGCCGGAGGAAGGAGGGGGCUACGGCAGGUCAGUAUGCCCCGAAACCCCUGGGCUACACGCGGCCUACAAUGGCGGGGACAGCGGGUUCCGAACCCGAAAGGGGGAGGUAACCCCUGAAACCCCGCCAUAGUUGGGAUCGAGGGCUGCAACUCGCCCUCGUGAACGGGGAAUCCCUAGUAACCGCGCGUCAUCAUCGCGCGGUGAAUACGUCCCUGCUCCUUGUACACACCGCCCGUCAAAGGGC
rnacentral:rRNA from 1 species